AGAGUUUGAUCAUGGCUCAGAAUCAACGCUGGCGGCGUGCCUAACACAUGCAAGUCGCACGAGAAAGGGUAGCAAUACCUGAGUAAAGUGGCGCACGGGUGAGUAACACGUGACUAACCUACCCUCGAGUGGGGAAUAACUUCGGGAAACCGAGGCUAAUACCGCAUAAUACCCACGGGUCAAAGGAGCAAUUCGCUUGAGGAGGGGGUCGCGGCCGAUUAGUUAGUUGGCAGGGUAAUGGCCCACCAAGACGAUGAUCGGUAUCCGGCCUGAGAGGGCGCACGGACACACUGGAACUGAAACACGGUCCAGACUCCUACGGGAGGCAGCAGUGGGGAAUUUUGCGCAAUGGGGGAAACCCUGACGCAGCAACGCCGCGUGGAGGAUGAAGUCCUUCGGGACGUAAACUCCUUUCGAUCGGGACGAUUAUGGCGGUACCGGAAGAAGAAGCCCCGGCUAACUUCGUGCCAGCAGCCGCGGUAAUACGAGGGGGGCGAGCGUUGUUCGGAAUUAUUGGGCGUAAAGGGUGCGUAGGCGGUUUGGUAAGUCUCUUGUGAAAACUCCGGGCUCAACUCGGAGCCUGCAGGAGAAACUGCCGGGCUUGAGUGUGGGAGAGGUGAGUGGAAUUCCUGGUGUAGCGGUGAAAUGCGUAGAUGUCAGGAGGAACACCUGUGGCGAAAGCGGCUCACUGGACCACAACUGACGCUGAUGCACGAAAGCUAGGGGAGCAAACAGGAUUAGAUACCCUGGUAGUCCUAGCCCUAAACGAUGACUGCUUGGUGUGACGGGUACCCAAUCCCGCCGUGCCGUAGCUAACGCGUUAAGCAGUCCGCCUGGGGAGUACGGUCGCAAGGCUGAACUCAAAGGAAUUGACGGGGGCCCGCACAAGCGGUGGAGCAUGUGGUUUAAUUCGACGCAACGCGAAGAACCUUACCUGGGCUCGAAAUGUUAUGGACCGGGGUAGAAUAUCCCUUUCCCGCAAGGGGCCGUAAUAUAGGUGCUGCAUGGCUGUCGUCAG
rnacentral:rRNA from 1 species